GGGGCCCCACAAGCGGUGGAGCAUGUGGUUUAAUUUGAGGCACCGCGAAGAGCCUUACCUACUCUUGACAUCCAGAGAACUUUCCAGAGAUGGAUUAGUGCCUUCGGGAAGUCUGAGACAGGUGCUGCAUGGCUGUGGUCAGCUCGUGUUGUGAAAUGUUGGGUUAAGUCUCGCACCGAGAGCACCCCUUAUCCUUGUUUGCCACCGAGUAAUGUCGGGAACUCCAGGGAGACUGCCGGUGAUAAACCGGAGGAAGGUGGGGACGACGUCAAGUCAUCAUGGCCCUUACGAGUAGGGCUACACACGUGCUACAAUGGCGCAUACAGAGGGCAGCAAGCUAGCGAUAGUGAGCGAAUCCCAAAAAACCAUUCUCAGUUCGGAUUCAGUCUGCAACUCGCCUGCAGAAGCCGGAAUCGCUAGUAAUCGCGGAUCAGCAUGCCACGGUGAAUACGUUUCCCGGGGCCUUGUACACACCGCCCGUCACCCCCAGAGAGUUGGUAACAAAAGAAAGUUAGGGUGAGGUAACCUUCGGAACCAGCCGCACGCAGGUGAGUCAUUUGU
rnacentral:rRNA from 1 species